rnacentral:pre_miRNA from 1 species
AAAAAAACAAACCCUAGAUUUCCGUGUUUAAUGUUUGAUCGUCCGUCUUAUUUAAAAAAAUUAUAAAAAAUUAAAAAGAUAAGUCACGCAUAAAGUAUUAAUCAUGAAAAUACUAAUUGUAAAAAAUUUCAUAUAAGAUGGACAGUCAAACGUUGAGCAUGGAAAUUCAGGGUUUGUCUUUUU